rnacentral:rRNA from 1 species
AAUGAACGUUGGCGGCAUGGAUUAGGCAUGCAAGUCGAGCGAGAAGAGUUUUGAAGCUUGCUUUAGAACUCGGACAGCGGCGAAAGGGAGAGUAACGCGUAGUUAUGUGCCCUAGGGUCCGGAAUAGCCACGGGAAACUGUGGGUAAUGCCGGAUAACAUCCCCGGAUCAAAGGUGUGAUUCCGCCCUAGGAGCAGACUGCGUCCUACUAGCUAGUUGGUGGGGUAAUGGCCUACCAAGGCAAUGAUGGGUAGCGGGUGUGAGAGCAUGACCCGUCUCACUGGGACUGAGACACUGCCCAGACACCUACGGGUGGCUGCAGUCGAGAAUCUUCGGCAAUGGGCGAAAGCCUGACCGAGCGAUGCCGCGUGCGGGAUGAAGGCCCUCGGGUUGUAAACCGCUGUCGUAGGGGAGGAAGGUUCCGUGAAGAGCGGAAUUUGGCCUAUCCUAGGAGGAAGUACGGGCUAAGUUCGUGCCAGCCGCCGCAGUAACAC